CAGUAGCCGCGGGAAUACGAAGGGGGCUAGCGUUGCUCGGAAUGACCGGGCGUAAAGGGCGCGUAGGCGGCGAUCAAAGUCAGGCGUGAAAUUCCUGGGCUCAACCUGGGGGCUGCGCUUGAUACUUGGUUGCUUGAGUGGGGAAGAGGGUCGUGGAAUUCCCAGUGUAGAGGUGAAAUUCGUAGAUAUUGGGAAGAACACCGGUGGCGAAGGCGGCGACCUGGUCCUUGACUGACGCUGAGGCGCGAAAGCGUGGGGAGCAAACAGGAUUAGAUACCCCCGUAGUCCCUGUCUCUUAUAC
rnacentral:rRNA from 1 species